GUGCUCACUUCGGCAGCACAUAUACUAAAAUUGGAACGAUACAGAGAAGAUUAGCAUGGCCCCUAAUAAAAGAAAAAAAAAAAAAGAAAAAUUUAUUUUAUGUGUAU
ensembl:snRNA U6 U6 spliceosomal RNA